rnacentral:rRNA from 1 species
ACAUGCAAGUCGAGCGGUAAGGCCUUUCGGGGUACACGAGCGGCGAACGGGUGAGUAACACGUGGGUGAUCUGCCCUGCACUCUGGGAUAAGCUUGGGAAACUGGGUCUAAUACCGGAUAUGACCGCAGCAUGCAUGUGUUGUGGUGGAAAGAUUUAUCGGUGCAGGAUGGGCCCGCGGCCUAUCAGCUUGUUGGUGGGGUAAUGGCCUACCAAGGCGACGACGGGUAGCCGACCUGAGAGGGUGACCGGCCACACUGGGACUGAGACACGGCCCAGACUCCUACGGGAGGCAGCAGUGGGGAAUAUUGCACAAUGGGCGGAAGCCUGAUGCAGCGACGCCGCGUGAGGGAUGAAGGCCUUCGGGUUGUAAACCUCUUUCAGCAGGGACGAAGCGUGAGUGACGGUACCUGCAGAAGAAGCACCGGCUAACUACGUGCCAGCAGCCGCGGUAAUACGUAGGGUGCGAGCGUUGUCCGGAAUUACUGGGCGUAAAGAGUUCGUAGGCGG